UACAGAGGGUGCGAGCGUUGUCCGGAAUCACUGGGCGUAAAGGGCUUGUAGGCGGCCAACUAAGUCAGACGUGAAAUCCCUCGGCUUAACCGGGGAACUGCGUCUGAUACUGGAUGGCUUGAGUUCGGGAGAGGGAUGCGGAAUUCCAGGUGUAGCGGUGAAAUGCGUAGAUAUCUGGAGGAACACCGGUGGCGAAGGCGGCAUCCUGGACCGAUACUGACGCUGAGGGGCGAAAGCCAGGGGAGCAAACGGG
rnacentral:rRNA from 1 species